rnacentral:lncRNA from 1 species
GAAUUAAUGGUUCAGGAGUCCAGAAGAAUGGGUGGUGGAUAAUGCAAGCACUAGUGCAGACUUGAGUCUUCCUUUGGCCCAAGAAAGACAAAUUAACUUUCAUGUCUCAGGAAGAGUAUAAUAGAGGUGAACCAAAGAGCAAACAAGAUAACUCACAAAUUGAGGUUCAAAUAAGUCAGAAGCAGAGAAUGAAACCAAGACCAGAACACUGUCUGAAGCAAGCCCAGAAGCAAAAAGAGAAGGACGACAUGCUCAUAUCUCCAAGCUGUCCACUGCUGAACCCCGGAGGCCCUGUAGAGUUACAGUAGGAAGUAUCAGUCUUUUCUUUGUCCCAAACAAAGUCUGUUUAGGACUCAGAGGCUCAGAGGCAAUGCCUCCGUGACAGCAGGCUUGUAACUCUGACUGCCACCUGUUCUGGAGCAAUUUUUCAGUGAAGUGUCUACAACAGUGCAACAUCUCUCAACCCCAAACAUCUACAAAGCUUCUUGAAAUGGAAAAUUUUCUCAUGUACUCCUUAUGCUGAAGUGAAUUCUUUUGAUUAUAAUAUAUCUUAAACCUGUGCAAACUUAAUAGUAGGUAUACAGUGUUUUUUUAAAAAUUAUUUAUUCAGUUAUUUGAAAGGCAGAGUUACAGAGAGGCAGAGGCAGAGAGAGAGAGAGAGAGAGACAGACAGACAGGUCUUCCAUCUGCCGGUUCACUCUCCAGAUGGCUGCAACGGCCAGAGCUGCGCUGAUACGAAGCCAGGAGCCAGAAGCUUCUUCUGGGUCUCCCAUGCAGGUGCAGGGCCCUAAGGAGUUGGGCCCAUCUUCUACUGCUUUCCCAGGCCAUAGCAGAGAGCUGAUCAGAAGUGGAAUAGCCGGGACUUGAGUCAGCACCCUAUGGGAUGCUGGCACUGCAGACUGGGGCUUUAACCACAGCGCCGGCCCCGAUAUACAGUUCAUGUUUGGAGUUCUAACAUAGCUAUGAAACAAAAUAUUUGAUACACAAACAAUAGAACAUUUCAACCUAAUAUUAUCAUAAAGUUUUAUUUCAGUGUGUUAGAUAUACAGUGACAUACAUGAAUUAUGUGUAAUAUUGUAUGAAUUUUACAUACACAUUUAUAUUCAUUUUUAAUAAAGUUUUAAUUUCAGAAUAGACCA